UACGGAGGAGGCAAGCGUUAUCCGGAAUUAUUGGGCGUAAAGCGUCCGCAGGUGGCCCGUCAAGUCUGCUGUCAAAGACUGGAGCUCAACUCCGGGCCGGCAGUGGAAACUGGGGGGCUAGAGGACGGUAGGGGUAGCGGGAAUUCCCAGUGUAGCGGUGAAAUGCGUAGAGAUUGGGAAGAACAUCGGUGGCGAAAGCGCGCUACUGGGCCGUCACUGACACUCAGGGACGAAAGCUAGGGGAGCGAAAGGG
rnacentral:rRNA from 1 species